rnacentral:rRNA from 1 species
AUGAACGCUAGCGGCAGGCUUAAUACAUGCAAGUCGAGGGGCAGCAGGGGGCGUAGCAAUACGUUCGCUGGCGACCGGCAAACGGGUGCGGAACACGUACACAACCUUCCUUAAAGUGGGGAAUAGCCCGGGGAAACCCGGAUUAAUACCCCCGUAACAUAAUGAAGUGGCAUCGCUUUAUUAUUAUAGCAGCAAUGCGCUUUAAAGAUGGGUGUGCGACUGAUUAGGCAGUUGGCGGGGGUAAACGGCCCACCAAACCUACGAUCAGUAAACUGGUGUGAGAGCACGACCAGUCACACGGGCACUGAGACACGGGCCCGACUCCUACGGGAGGCAAGCAGUAAGGAAUAUUGGUCAAUGGACGCAAGUCUGAACCAGCCAUGCCGCGUGGAGGAUGAAGGUCCUCUGGAUUGUAAACUUCUUUUUACCUGGGAAGAAAUCCACAAAUUCUUUUGUGGUUGAACGGUACCAGGUGAAUAAGCACCGGCUAACUCCGUGCCAGCAGCCGCGGUAAUACGGAGGGUGCAAGCGUUAUCCGGAUUCACUGGGUUUAAAGGGUGCGUAGGUGGGUUGGUAAGUCAGUGGUGAAACCUCCAGGCUUAACUUGGAAACUGCCAUUGAUACUAUCAAUCUUGAAUACCGUGGAGGUCAGCGGAAUAUGUCAUGUAGCGGUUGAAAUGCUUAGAUAUGACAUAGAACACCAAUUGCGAAGGCAGCUGGCUACGCGGAUAUUGACACUGAUGCACGAAAGCGUGGGGAUCAAACAGGAUUAGAUACCCUGGUAGUCCACGCCCUAAGCGAUGGAUACUCGAACAUACGCGAUAUACAGUGUGUGUCUGAGCGAAAGCAUUAAGUAUCCCACCCGGGAAGUACGAUCGCAAGAUUGAAACUCAAAGGAAUUGGCGGGGGGUCCGCACAAGCGGGUGGAGCAUGUGGUUUAAUUCGAUGAUACGCGAGGAACCUUACCUGGGGCUAGAAUGUCAGUGGACUGUGGGUGAAAGCUCACUUUGUAGCGAUACACCGCUGAUAAGGUGCUGCAUGGCUGUCGUCAGCUCGUGCCGUGAGGUGUUGGGUUUAAGUCCCGCAACGAGCGCAACCCCCCAUCACUAGUUGCCAUCAGGUAACGCUGGGAACUCUAGUGAAACUGCCGUCCGUAAGACGUGAGGAAGGAGGGGAUGAUGUCAAGUCAUCAUGGCCUUUAUGCCCAGGGCUACAACACGUGCUACAAUGGGGCGUACAAAGAGCAGCAACACAGUGAUGUGAAGCCAAUCUCAAAAAAACGUCUCUCAGUUCAGAUUGAAGUCUGCAACUCGACUUCAUGAAGCUGGAAUCGCUAGUAAUCGUAUAUCAGCAAUGAUACGGUGAAUACGUUUCCCGGACCUUGCACACACCGCCCCGUCAAGCCAUGGAAGCCGGGUGUACCUAAAGUCGGUAACCGUAAGGAGCCGCCUAGGGUUAAAACUGGUGACUGGGGCU